rnacentral:rRNA from 1 species
GACGAACGCUGGCGGCGCGCUUAACACAUGCAAGUCGAGCGAAGCGGCGGACGGGUGAGUAACACGUGAGUAACCUGCCUUAGACAUUGGGAUAGCCCCGGGAAACCGGGAUUAAUACCAAAUGGUCUAAGAGGGACUCGAGUCGCAUUAGAUAGUUGGUGAGGUAACGGCCCACCAAGGCGACGCUGGGUAGCCGGCCUCAGAGGCUGAACGGCCACUUUGGAACGGGGAAGCGGUCGAAAAUCUACGGGAGGCAGCAGUGGGUAAUAUUGCACAAUGGAGUGAACUCUGAUGCUGCGACGCCGCGUGAACGAUGAAGGCUUUCGAGUCGUAAAGUGCUUUUAUAUGGGAAGCGGUACCAAAAGAGAAAGCCCCGGCUAACUACGUGCCAGCAGCCGCGGUAAUAC